rnacentral:rRNA from 1 species
GAUGAACGCUGGCGGCGUGCCUAAUACAUGCCAGUCGAGCGAACGGACGAGAAGCUUGCUUCUCUGAUGUUAGCGGCGGACGGGUGAGUAACACGUGGAUAACCUACCUAUAAGACUGGGAUAACUUCGGGAAACCGGAGCUAAUACCGGAUAAUAUUUUGAACCGCAUGGUUCAAAAGUGAAAGACGGUCUUGCUGUCACUUAUAGAUGGAUCCGCGCUGCAUUAGCUAGUUGGUAAGGUAACGGCUUACCAAGGCAACUAUGCAUAGCCGACCUGAGAGGGUGGUCGGCCACACUGGAAGUGAGACACGGUCCCGACUCCUAGGGGAGGCAGCAGUAGGGAAUCUUCCGCAAUGGGCGAAAGCCUGACGGAGCAACGCCGCGUGAGUGAUGAAGGUCUUCGGAUCGUAAAACUCUGUUAUUAGGGAAGAACAUAUGUGUAAGUAACUGUGAACAUCUUGACGGUACCUAAUCAGAAAGCCACGGCUAACUACGUG